AUUUUCUUGAAUUUUUUAUUUUUUUUAAAAAAAUACAUUUCCUUCAUAGUCAAAAUGGCCAAUUCCUCAACCACUUUAUUCAUGUUGCUUCUUAUUGUUGUAUCAGGUUCAAUGGUGCUAGCAAGUGGAGGAUGCUUGACUAAUUUGGGGGUUUGUGGCGAUGCGUGUGACCAAGAAUGUUGUCAAAGUAAAUGUUAUGGCAAUUUCCAGAACAAACAUCCAAGUCCUAUUUGUGAGAUAUUGCCUGGAAGUAAUGAACGUUUAUGCAGUUGUUACCAUGUUUGUUAGUUAAAUUAGAAUUUAUAUUUAAUUGUUAUUGUUGGUUUGGAUGUCAUUGUUUUGAAACCAAAUGAUAUUUUCAUGAUAUAAUAAUAUAUGGCUGUGUCCAUCUUUCAUUUCCUUUUA